AUUGAACGCUAGCGGCAUGCCUUACACAUGCAAGUCGAACGAGUGGCGGACGGGUGAGUAAUAUAUCGGAACGUGCCCAGUAGCGGGGGAUAACUACUCGAAGGAGUGGCUAAUACAGCAUACUAUUGGAGCGGCCGAUAUCGGAUUAGCUAGUUGGUGGGGUAAAGGCUCACCAAGGCAACGAUCCGUAGCUGGUGUGAGAGGACGACCAGCCACACUGGGACUGAGACACGGACCAGACUCCUACGGGAGGCAGCAGUGGGGAAUAUUGGACAAUGGGGGAAACCCUGAUCCAGCCAUCCCGCGUGUAUGAGAAGGCCUUCGGGUUGUAAAGUACUUUCGGCAGAGAAGCGGUAUCUGCAGAAGAAGCACCGGCUAACUUCGUGCCAGCAGCCGCGGUAAUAC
rnacentral:rRNA from 1 species